GACGAACGCUGGCGGCGUGCCUAAUACAUGCAAGUAGAACGCUGAAGAGAGGAGCUUGCUCUUCUUGGAUGAGUUGCGAACGGGUGAGUAACGCGUAGGUAACCUGCCUUGUAGCGGGGGAUAACUAUUGGAAACGAUAGCUAAUACCGCAUAACAAUGGAUGACACAUGUCAUUUAUUUGAAAGGGGCAAUUGCUCCACUACAAGAUGGACCUGCGUUGUAUUAGCUAGUAGGUGAGGUAACGGCUCACCUAGGCGACGAUACAUAGCCGACCUGAGAGGGUGAUCGGCCACACUGGGACUGAGACACGGCCCAGACUCCUACGGGAGGCAGCAGUAGGGAAUCUUCGGCAAUGGGGGCAACCCUGACCGAGCAACGCCGCGUGAGUGAAGAAGGUUUUCGGAUCGUAAAGCUCUGUUGUAAGUCAAGAACGAGUGUGAGAGUGGAAAAUUCACACUGUGACGGUAGCUUACCAGAAAGGGACGGCUAACUACGUGCCAGCAGCCGCGGUAAUACGUAGGUCCCGAGCGUUGUCCGGAUUUAUUGGGCGUAAAGCGAGCGCAGGCGGUUUGAUAAGUCUGAAGUUAAAGGCUGUGGCUCAACCAUAGUUCGCAUUGGAAACUGUCAAACUUGAGUGCAGAAGGGGAGAGUGGAAUUCCAUGUGUAGCGGUGAAAUGCGUAGAUAUAUGGAGGAACACCGGUGGCGAAAGCGGCUCUCUGGUCUGUAACUGACGCUGAGGCUCGAAAGCGUGGGGAGCGAACAGGAUUAGAUACCCUGGUAGUCCACGCCGUAAACGAUGAGUGCUAGGUGUUGGAUCCUUUCCGGGAUUCAGUGCCGCAGCUAACGCAUUAAGCACUCCGCCUGGGGAGUACGACCGCAAGGUUGAAACUCAAAGGAAUUGACGGGGGCCCGCACAAGCGGUGGAGCAUGUGGUUUAAUUCGAAGCAACGCGAAGAACCUUACCAGGUCUUGACAUCCCGAUGCUAUUUCUAGAGAUAGAAAGUUACUUCGGUACAUCGGUGACAGGUGGUGCAUGGUUGUCGUCAGCUCGUGUCGUGAGAUGUUGGGUUAAGUCCCGCAACGAGCGCAACCCCUAUUGUUAGUUGCCAUCAUUCAGUUGGGCACUCUAGCGAGACUGCCGGUAAUAAACCGGAGGAAGGUGGGGAUGACGUCAAAUCAUCAUGCCCCUUAUGACCUGGGCUACACACGUGCUACAAUGGUUGGUACAACGAGUUGCGAGUCGGUGACGGCAAGCUAAUCUCUUAAAGCCAAUCUCGGUUCGGAUUGUAGGCUGCAACUCGCCUACAUGAAGUCGGAAUCGCUAGUAAUCGCGGAUCAGCACGCCGCGGUGAAUACGUUCCCGGGCCU
rnacentral:rRNA from 1 species